rnacentral:rRNA from 1 species
UACGGAGGGUGCGAGCGUUAUCCGGAAUUACUGGGCUUAAAGGGUACGUAGGCGGCUCGGUAAGUCAGGGGUGAAAGUUUGCGGCUCAACCGUAAAAUUGCUUUUGAUACUGCCGGGCUAGAAUCAGGAUGAGGUCAGCGGAAUGUGGCAUGUAGCGGUGAAAUGCAUAGAUAUGCCAUAGAACACCUAUUGCGAAGGCAGCUGGCUAGACCUGUAUUGACGCUGAGGCACGAAAGCGUGGGGAGCGAACAGG